rnacentral:rRNA from 1 species
AGUGAACGCUGGCGGUAGGCCUAACACAUGCAAGUCGAACGGCAGCACAGUAAGAUCUUGCUCUUACGGGUGGCGAGUGGCGGACGGGUGAGGAAUACAUCGGAAUCUACUUUUUCGUGGGGGAUAACGUAGGGAAACUUACGCUAAUACCGCAUACGACCUACGGGUGAAAGCAGGGGAUCUUCGGACCUUGCGCGAUUGAAUGAGCCGAUGUCGGAUUAGCUAGUUGGCGGGGUAAAGGCCCACCAAGGCGACGAUCCGUAGCUGGUCUGAGAGGAUGAUCAGCCACACUGGAACUGAGACACGGUCCAGACUCCUACGGGAGGCAGCAGUAGGGAAUAUUGGACAAUGGGCGCAAGCCUGAUCCAGCCAUACCGCGUGAGUGAAGAAGGCCUUCGGGUUGUAAAGCCCUUUUGUUGGGAAAGAAAAGCAGCAGGUUAAUACCCCGCUGUUCUGACGGUACCCAAAGAAUAAGCACCGGCUAACUUCGUG